rnacentral:rRNA from 1 species
UACAGAGGGGGCAAGCGUUGUCCGGAUUUACUGGGCGUACAGCGCGCGCAGGCGGUUGCGUAUGUGAGCGGUGACAUCCGCGGGCUCAACCCGCGGCGGCCCGCUUACACAGCGCGACUGGAGGCAGGGAGAGGGAUGUGGAAUACCCGGUGGAGCGGUGAAAUGCGUAGAGAUGUGGAGGAAUACCGAUGGCGAAGGCAGCCCCCUGGGAUAACACUGACGCUCAUGCACGAAAGCGUGGGGAGCAAACAGG